AUACGUAGGGGGCUAGCGUUAUCCGGAAUUACUGGGCGUAAAGGGUGCGUAGGUGGUUUCUUAAGUCAGAAGUGAAAGGCUACGGCUCAACCGUAGUAAGCUUUUGAAACUAAGAGACUUGAGUGCAGGAGAGGAGAGUAGAAUUCCUAGUGUAGCGGUGAAAUGCGUAGAUAUUAGGAGGAAUACCAGUUGCGAAGGCGGCUCUCUGGACUGUAACUGACACUGAGGCACGAAAGCGUGGGGAGCAAACAGGAUUAGAUCCCCGGGUAGUCCACGCCGUAAACGAUGAGUACUAGCUGUCGGGGGUUACCCCCCUCGGUGGCGCAGCUAACGCAUUAAGUACUCCGCCUGGGAAGUACGCUCGCAAGAGUGAAACUCAAAUGAAUUGACGGGG
rnacentral:rRNA from 1 species